AGCAAAGAUAUAUAAGAAAUAUACAUAUAGAUGCAUCAAAGUCGUGUUCAGAUCAGAGAUAGUGUUAAGAAUUCUCGAUCAUUGUUCAAACCCGAGUCGCGUAGUGAAGAUAAGCUCCUUGCUCACCCUAUCCCUAGUUCGCUGCCUCGCAAAAGGUCCUUACAGACCUCACUUUAUCUAUUUGCAUCCUCUCGUUGAUCCGUAAAGGCUCAACUACCAUAUCCGAGUCGUCCAUCCCCUUCUAAACUGGUGUACAGGUCAAAAGGCAACAAAUAUGUUGCUGGGAAUUAAUCUGCAGGUCUCCAAAGCUAUGAAAGGGGCUGAUAAUGCCGUUGUAUGCUCUGAUAUACAAUCAUAAGAUACGAUAUACAGGUAAAAAAUUAGUGCAGCUGUUUGGGAAGCUGAAUACUGGUAUAUAUACUGACUAUACACGGCGAUAUACAAAAACAAAUUGAAAUACAAUCCGUAUACGGCGGUAUACGCUGAAAUAUUGGAGGAAAAUAGAUUCAAGGGCCCAAAAAUGGUGCAGCAAAAUUUGGGCCAAAAGGCCCAAAUUUGACAUUUCUAUGCUUAUUCUUUACUUAUUAUUGUGGCCACUAACAUAUUAUUUGAUUUUCGAUUUUAAUUUAAUUAAUCCCGAAUGAUAUUCAUUUUUCUUU